rnacentral:rRNA from 1 species
UACGUAGGGUGCAAGCGUUAAUCGGAUUUACUGGGCGUAAAGCGUGCGCAGGCGGUUAUGUAAGACAGGUGUGAAAUCCCCGGGCUUAACCUGGGAACUGCAUUUGUGACUGCAUAGCUAGAGUACGGCAGAGGGGGAUGGAAUUCCGCGUGUAGCAGUGAAAUGCGUAGAUAUGCGGAGGAACACCGAUGGCGAAGGCAAUCCCCUGGGCCUGUACUGACGCUCAUGCACGAAAGCGUGGGGAGCAAACAGG